rnacentral:rRNA from 1 species
UAAAUACUCCUGACUGACCGAUAGUGAACCAGUACCGUGAGGGAAAGGCGAAAAGAACCCCGGCGAGGGGAGUGAAAAAGAACCUGAAACCGUGUACGUACAAGCAGUGGGAGCCUCUUUAUGGGGUGACUGCGUACCUUUUGUAUAAUGGGUCAGCGACUUAUAUUCUGUAGCAAGGUUAACCGAAUAGGGGAGCCGAAGGGAAACCGAGUCUUAACUGGGCGUUAAGUUGCAGGGUAUAGACCCGAAACCCGGUGAUCUAGCCAUGGGCAGGUUGAAGGUUGGGUAACACUAACUGGAGGACCGAACCGACUAAUGUUGAAAAAUUAGCGGAUGACUUGUGGCUGGGGGUGAAAGGCCAAUCAAACCGGGAGAUAGCUGGUUCUCCCCGAAAGCUAUUUAGGUAGCGCCUCGUGAAUUCAUCUCCGGGGGUAGAGCACUGUUUCGGCAAGGGGGUCAUCCCGACUUACCAACCCGAUGCAAACUGCGAAUACCGGAGAAUGUUAUCACGGGAGACACACGGCGGGUGCUAACGUCCGUCGUGAAGAGGGAAACAACCCAGACCGCCAGCUAAGGUCCCAAAGUCAUGGUUAAGUGGGAAACGAUGUGGGAAGGCCCAGACAGCCAGGAUGUUGGCUUAGAAGCAGCCAUCAUUUAAAGAAAGCGUAAUAGCUCACUGGUCGAGUCGGCCUGCGCGGAAGAUGUAACGGGGCUAAACCAUGCACCGAAGCUGCGGCAGCGACGCUGAUGCGUUGUUGGGUAGGGGAGCGUUCUGUAAGCCUGCGAAGGUGUGCUGUGAGGCAUGCUGGAGGUAUCAGAAGUGCGAAUGCUGACAUAAGUAACGAUAAAGCGGGUGAAAAGCCCGCUCGCCGGAAGACCAAGGGUUCCUGUCCAACGUUAAUCGGGGCAGGGUGAGUCGACCCCUAAGGCGAGGCCGAAAGGCGUAGUCGAUGGGAAACAGGUUAAUAUUCCUGUACUUGGUGUUACUGCGAAGGGGGGACGGAGAAGGCUAUGUUGGCCGGGCGACGGUUGUCCCGGUUUAAGCGUGUAGGCUGGUUUUCCAGGCAAAUCCGGAAAAUCAAGGCUGAGGCGUGAUGACGAGGCACUACGGUGCUGAAGCAACAAAUGCCCUGCUUCCAGGAAAAGCCUCUAAGCAUCAGGUAACAUCAAAUCGUACCCCAAACCGACACAGGUGGUCAGGUAGAGAAUACCAAGGCGCUUGAGAGAACUCGGGUGAAGGAACUAGGCAAAAUGGUGCCGUAACUUCGGGAGAAGGCACGCUGAUAUGUAGGUGAAGCGACUUGCUCGUGGAGCUGAAAUCAGUCGAAGAUACCAGCUGGCUGCAACUGUUUAUUAAAAACACAGCACUGUGCAAACACGAAAGUGGACGUAUACGGUGUGACGCCUGCCCGGUGCCGGAAGGUUAAUUGAUGGGGUCAGCGCAAGCGAAGCUCUUGAUCGAAGCCCCGGUAAACGGCGGCCGUAACUAUAACGGUCCUAAGGUAGCGAAAUUCCUUGUCGGGUAAGUUCCGACCUGCACGAAUGGCGUAAUGAUGGCCAGGCUGUCUCCACCCGAGACUCAGUGAAAUUGAACUCGCUGUGAAGAUGCAGUGUACCCGCGGCAAGACGGAAAGACCCCGUGAACCUUUACUAUAGCUUGACACUGAACAUUGAGCCUUGAUGUGUAGGAUAGGUGGGAGGCUUUGAAGUGUGG